rnacentral:lncRNA from 1 species
AUCCCAUUGUUCUAAGGUAAUAAAUCCUAUAAUUGCUGUAUCCUCAGAACCCAGCACGGGGCACUGCAUACGGUAGAUCUGCUUAACCAUGUACCAAAUGCAUCCGCCUCUUCCCCAACAUCCAUUACUACUGGAACCCACCAAGAACUGAAUUCCAUGGUACUUCUCAGGAUUCUUGAGGUCUGGACUAAGCCCUGGAUUGGGAAAGACGUGUUUAUGAUGCAGACCAGUUGGGGAGAUUUUUCUUGAAGGAGCAGCAGCUUGGGAAUAGCUGACCUGCACCUGUCAUUCUGGAUAAGGAUAGCAUGUUCAUAAAAGGGAAAUGAGUGGAGAAGGAGGGAAGGAGUUGUGAGCAAAGCAUUUAAAGCGUUGCCAGAAUAUAAGCAACAGUGCUUCAUGUCGUGAAAAACUGAGAAAAGGAGUCUUUAUGUACAGGAAGAACUCAGCAGCUGACCUCAAGAAGAAAGGAAAACAUCCUCUCUUCACUUUUCUCUGGGAUGCCUGUGCCCAGGGUCUUGAGUUUCCGACUGGGGCAUAAUGGAUUUUUGGUGGCCUGUGACUUUAUUAUGGGUCUUUUCCCAAAGUGUUUUGAAAUGAUUUUAUCCAACAUGGAUGUCUUGAUCCAAGAGAAAAAAAGGGAUCCCUUCAAAGUCCUUUCCCCAGUUUCCUGCUUAGUCCCACUCCUAGAGCCCUAGGGGGUUCUGUAGCUCCUCUAUAUUUUC